rnacentral:misc_RNA from 1 species
AAAUGCGAUAAGUAAUGUGAAUUGCAGAAUUCAGUGAAUCAUCGAAUCUUUGAACGCACAUUGCGCCCGCCAGCACUCUGGCGGGCAUGCCUGUUCGAGCGUCAUUUCAACCCUCAGAACCCCUUGCGGGAUCUGGCGUUGGGGAUUGGCAUCCAGCCAGCCCCGAAAUCUAGUGGCGGUCCCUCCGCGACCUCCCCUGUGCAGUAGCGAUACCUCGCAGCGGGACAGCGGUCUGACCACGCCGUAAAACCCCCAACUUCCCAAGGUUGACCUCGAAUCAGGUAGGAAUACCCGCUGAACUUAAGC